rnacentral:lncRNA from 1 species
CUUUGCUGUGCCUCCGACUCUUGACUGCACAUCUCAGUUUCCCUGCCAGACCCCUAUCAAACUCAACCGCAGCUCAAAAUGCCCUCACUUCCCGCCCCAUCAUCUGAGCGAGGGAAGGGCAGCAUCCUCAGCGUGCCAGGAUCCCACAGGACUUCAGCCUACCGCUGAGUCUUCCUCAGGACUCAGCAUCUCCACUGGCUGUCUGCGUUCCCAAACCAGAACAGGGCUCUGUGUCCCGGGGCUGACCACGAUGUUAGCUGUGGAUCAGAGGAUUGAGAACUAGAGAAGAAAGAAGCAUCUAGAAGGAUGGCAGAAUCACAGGAGAGAUCGGGUAUGGGGCCACAGAGAAAGCCUUGGGGAUACUACCGACUACGGGGACACCAGUGACGUACGAAGAUCUCACCGGAAAUAGUUUAGACGACGUCCUUCUGGAUUAGAGAGUCUCAAGUUCUAAAGAGGGUUAACUCCGAUAACACCACUUUCAGGAAGUUUGACAACGGAGGUCAGAGCAUACACACAUACAUCACUGACAAAAACCGAUUACAGUAGGGUGAGCACUCAACGUGAAUGGGAACGGACUGGAGGUCAGAUGGGCGUCCAAGUGCGUCAGGCUUAGCGAGCAGACAGAAGCUUCUUGUCUCUGCUUAGGUGGCACCGGAAACAGGAGACCUUGGCCUCGGGCCCUGCAGACAGCCUUGCCUGCUGCUUCUGUCCGGACAGGCAGCUUGAGCCAGGUUCUCAGAUGACCGCGCUACCAGCUGCCAGUCCUCGGCUAUCCUCGGCUAUCUUCGGCUUUCCUCAGUAGGGGAAAGAACCCGGAGCAGGAACUUUGUCUGUGUGAUGGACCGGAAGGCGCCACCUGAAGCAGGUUCCCCAGCGUUCUCCAGCAUAUCUGGGUUGGAUGAAAGUGAUCUUGUUUCUACAUGAAUGUGCACACACACACACACACACACACACACACACACACAAACGCACACCUCUACACACACACACCUACACACACCUACACACAAAUAAGAGACAUAAGUAAAAAUAGUUACCCAGAAAUGCAAAAUGAGAAAACUACUGGAUUUUGACUUCACACUUACCACAUCUGGAGGCGACAUACUCUGAAAUCAUAUUUAAUAUCGGCCCUACCUACAAGCCACUGCGACCUGCAAAAAACUGAUUGGGUUACUACGGGGCAGGCUGUGUACACAGCAUGGAUGUGGACAGUGGGAGCUGGAGGGCCGGGCCUGAGAUUUUUACCACUGAACUCAAAAUGGCAAGCGAUUUAAACGUUCAAGCUAAUUUCUAGAAUUUCCCCUUUGUUGGUUUUGAAUUGUGGUCGACUGAAAUACCCGUCAUUAAAAUUGCAGACAAGGAGACUGCUGUAUUUCUAGCAAAUGUUGUGGCAUUCUGUUGCUGUAGGGAGCUGGGUGGAUAAACUCUACUGUCUCCGCUGCCCACAAGCAGACCUCAGCAUCCUUCUAGAAUCAUCUAGCACUAUUUCCUCCAUCAAAGGAAGACUCCUUUACCUUUCAGGGCAGCACAUGAUGGUUUACUCCUGGAUUAGCCAGCUGCUCUUUACAGCCCGUCUCACUGGGUUCUUUCUCGGUCUUGAGCCCAGGAUUUUGGCACAUAUGUAUGAAUAAGGGAGUUUAAAUGUGCAUCGUAAGUCAAAAUGGCGAGCGUGAAACCC